GAUGGUCUUUUUCUCAAUGGCACUCGGGAAUGUGCUUGGUAGAUGUAAUGGCAUUCAUGCCGUGGAUAGAUGGUCCAUUCCCGCCGGUCCACCAUGUGACGAUCCAGAUCGUUCAUCUAGAGCUUCCCACAUUGAAUGGUUAAUAUGGAAAAAUCGCAUUCAACAGAGAUAUCUCUUUAUAACGUGAUAGCAGUCCAUAACAGCAUCUUAUAGGCCACCUUUGCAUGGACGGUAAUGAUAUCAAGUCAGUAACUUUCUAUGUGGGCAAUGUAUUGUAAGAGCUUUUAGACGAACGGUCUAGAUCGUUCCACCGUGGACCAGACGUGACGAACAGAUUGGACGGUCGUCUAGCUGUCGUAGCCUUGCGAGCACACGUAAGCAGGGCACCCUACUCCAUAGCUCAAGUGGUAGACGGAGUGAAAGAUAGCUCCUUUCAACAUUGAGGUUUUGGUACCGAUUCCCUAGUGGGUGCGGAUUGCGUACUCAGUAUGCUAAAAUGUGUGAGGCCCACCGUUAUGUAUGGUCUUAUCCACGCCGUUUAUCCAUUUUUUUCCGGUUUAUUUUAAGGCGUGAGUCGAAAAUUAAAGCAUAUCUAAAUCUGAAGUGAAAACUUCCUGAGCCACAAUGGCUUUGGAUCAAGCUGAUGUUUAUAUUCUUCUUUCAUCCGUAUUCAUGUUAUGAAAAGGUUGGACGACAAAUAAACAUUACCGUGGGCCCAAAAAAGUUUCAACAGUGGAUGUCACUACUCCCACUGUUUCUUUUGAUGUGGUCCAUUUGAGUUUUGGAUAUGCUUCAAUUUUGAGCUCAUGAACUAGAAUGAGAUGAUAAAGCGGAUGGAUGGUGUGGAUAAGAUACAUUCAUCACAGUGCGUCCCACAGAGUUUGCUCCCUACGCUAGCGUGGUGAGUUACUCAGUGCACAAACUGCGUCCCCACGCUGCAGGGAGGAAAUUGGAUUUUUUAGCAAGCUUUAUCUCACUGACUACACUAUUUUGGGCCCACCGUGAAUGUAUGUCGCUUAUCCACGCAGUCCAUCCACUUUUCCAGCUCAUUUUAGGUGUAAAGCUCAAAAUUGAAGCAUAUCCAAGCUCAAGUGUACCACACCAUAAGAAACGGUGGUAAUAAUGAUUUCCACCGUUGAAACUUUCCUAAGGCCCACAGUGAUGUUUAUUUGUCAUACAACCUGUUCAUAAAAUCACAAAGAUAUGGAUGAAGGGAGAACAAAAAUAUCGGCUUGAUCGAAAACUUCAGUGGCCCCCAAGAAAUUUUCAACCGUAGAUUCUAAAUUCACACUGUUUUCCUGUGGUGUAGUCCGCUUGAGCUUUUGAUACGCUUCGUUUUUGGGCCGAAGCACUUAGAUAAAAUACAUAAAUCACGACGGUGGACCCACAGGCAAUCCGCUUAUUGAAAGGAGGACCCGAUGACUGAGACUGAGUACUGCUUGUCAGUGGUCAUAUACUGCCAGCAGAGCAUCGUAUCAAAUAACUCACCCAGCUCAUAAAGCAAAUGGGCAAUGUUCCAAAAAUUACACAUUUUGUGGAAAAUCAUGACCCCGCAAUUAGUGCCGUUCGAAUGUGAAAGUCAAAAGUGGCAAAGGCAUUCAGUGGGCAAAGGUCCAUUUUAUUGGACGGUUUGGAGUUAUGAGAGUUCACUCAAAGAACUUUACUAACUCUAGAUACCAGCUCCAAUGCUAAAAAUGGAAGGAUGAGAAGAAUGUAACGGUCAAUAUUUGAUAUCUGCCUGCAACAUACCUUUUAAGCUGAUAUUUGGGCCACCGCAAAUGGACUAUGGGGCCAUCGCCAUGAAUGGUCC